GCCUUCGGACUGGCCCAGGGAGGUCGGCAACGACCACCCAGGGCCGGAAAGUUGGUCAAACUCGGUCAUUUAGAGGAAGUAAAAGUCGUAACAAGGUCUCCGUAGGUGAACCUGCGGAGGGAUCAUU
rnacentral:rRNA from 1 species